AUGAAAAAAAGAUUUUGGCCUGGAAACCCCUGUUGCUCCUUCUAUAAUCAAUUGGAAACACCCUCGCACUUGCUUUUCUUGUGUCCUGUGUCUACAGUGGUUUGGAGAACUGUAGGAGCUCUCCUUGGGACUGAUUGUUGUCCUAAUUCCAUCUGGCAGUAUUAUACUUGGAUUUAUAGUUUCUUACCUGGCUUUGAAAAAAUUUAUACUGUGGGCUUGGCAGCUAUAUGCUGGGCCAUAUGGCUGGCCCGGAAGAGAGCUACUUUAGAAUGCAAAUGGAUUAACUCUCCAUUUGAGAUCGUGUUCACGGCUUGUGCUUUUCUGAUGUACUGGGCAGGCCUCCAGAAACCUGAGUUGGAAGAGAUAGUGAAGAAGGGCGCGGAGAUGCUGAAGGAGAAUACAACUCAGAUGAUGUUGUUGUGUGGACCUCCAGCUCCAAACAUGGACGGGCGCGACUGA
rnacentral:rRNA from 1 species